rnacentral:lncRNA from 1 species
ACGCAGAAGACGGGUGAUUUCUGCAUUUCCAUCUGAGUGAACAUAGAUUCCUUCAGUAAAUAUUGGGAAAACAUUUGCUUCAGGCCCAUUACUGGGUACCGCUUUGAUACAGAGGACACACCAAGGAACAAGACAGAUAGGACCUCUGCCUCUGGUAAGUUUGCAUUCCAGAGGGAGGAGAAGACAAUAAGCAAGCAAGCCAUCAAGACCACGUCAGAUGAGACGAAUAAAGUCAGACAGCUUCCAAGGAGUGGAUGCUUAUGGAGAGAUCACAUGGAGCCUUGUAGCUGAUUUAUAAUCUCAUGGUCCUCAUUCAUACAUCAAACCCCUGAAGGCCUGGCAUUUUUAUCUCCCGACUCAACCUGCAUGCUACCAGAAGCUCGACAAAAUUACGCCUGUUUAGGAAAAGACUGGAGGAAUUCGUGGAGGAAUUCUUGGAGGGGGAACACUGAAGUCCGGUGAGUGGUCCUACAAAAACACUUGAAGGGAUUGAGUUCCAGCAAGAAGAGGAGAUUGGCAUCUAAUUUCCUGUUGGGUUAUGCUUAUGCAGCAGUCUCUGAUCUAUAUUCUGUGACUAUUGAGAAGGAGCAAAGGCUAUUGGAGGAAGGUGAUGGAGUGAAAAAGGGAAAGCAGUUGAGCUUCCUACAUGCUCCAUGCUGUGGCAAGAAAAAAAAUGUGUAAGUUUCCACUAGGUCAAGAGCUGUCUUUUUGCUUAUGGGGUCCAGCCCUAGAGGGGAGGAAGGCUCUUAGGGGCAAGAGAGUGAAGGGUGAACCAUGAGUGGGGCAGCUGUUUAGGUUAGAAGUUAGAAGUCUUCCUGAAUGGAACUCAUCUCCCAUGUUAGGAGCUGGGACUUCUGUAGACCCCAUUUGUGCCCCCACUAGAGAGUCAGUCCCUGGAUACCUGCCUUACCAGGGGCAUCCACUGGCAAGAGAUGAUUGCAGUAGCAUUUCAUCAAUAUGAGAAUUUAUGAAUUCAUGUCCUUCUUUCCACCAACACCCAUCCAAGGAAAAGGAGGUGUAAAAAAGGAGGAAGUAGAGAAGAGUGAAAAAGCUG